AUUCCACAGAAUCAUCCUAACCGAAAGUAAUUGCAAGUUGUACCCUAGCACAGAAUGAGAAAACAGCACCAUAAUACAAAUCAUUCAAAAUCCAUUAACACCAUCCAAACAUAAAGGAACAUAAAGGGUGUUGCCACUCUAAGAAGUACACAUCGCAACAUUUGAGAGCUGUGCAAACUACCCCUACAGUUCUAAGCUGUUUGCCACGCUUCUAAAAAAUACUCAUCACAACAGUCACGAGCUGGCAAGAAACAGCUGAUAGUCUACUUAGAAUAAGGGAAAUAAACCGGAGUCGACAACAGAACGUCGACCUCAUUGAGAAAGGGCGAGACACGUUCUUGAAGCCAGGCAAAGUUGCGAGUACCGUUCAGUACCUGAUUAACGAAAUCCUCUAGCACUCCGCCCACGUUUUCAGCAUUGCCCAAGAACACAUCCUGCUCAUCAAGCGAUCCGACACAUUUUUUGACUAUUUCAUUAGCGUCCUCCCACAGACUUACGAGUGCAAUUGCUGAGUUCUUCAGGAGUAGGAGGGCUUUCGGGAAGCCCUCUCCCGGCUUGGCCUCCUGAACAAGGAGGGGAAACAGAGCAAGCUUGAUCUUGUGGAGCUCCACCGCCACGCUUGCCACGAGCGAGAGGAAAUCCAUAUCCAUCUCGGAGCAUCGCCAGUUCCUCCGCUCAAUCAGGUUGCGGAGGAGUGCAUACGAGUCGCUCGCUAUGCUCACGGACUCCAGAGAGACGAGCUUUAGAAACAUGCGCCUAUCGGAGCGGUCCUGCAGGGCUCGGAGGUCGGCAUGGCAGGAGAUGCGCUCUUGGACCAUCUUUUCGGCGGCGAGACGGAGAUGCGGCGGCGAGACGGGUAUGGCGGUGGGGGUUGUUGCGGCGGCAGCGAGACGGAGCCAGCCGCUGUUUAUGGAUGGGUGCGAUCUGUUUUCUACCGUUUUUUAUGGGAUUUAUUUAGGGUUUCUUCGGUAAGAUUGCCUCUACCGUCGGAUCCGAUUCGAGGCAGGAGGGCAGAGAGAGAAACAUUUCACUGGCCAUCCGUCUCCACCAGUGCGGGCGGUAGCUCCGUCUCCACCAGUGCCGGCAGCAGCUCAGCCGCCCAUGGCUCCGCCGGCUCCCCUGGCCAUGGCUCCGCCGUCCACGGCUCCACCGGCACCAUGGCUACAAGUGGAGCCCUCACCUAUGGCGUCGAUGUUGGGCGCUCAGAUGUACUCUGAGCAUGCUCCAUCAGCUAGGGUUCCACUACUUAGUUCCACUGGAGAUUUAAUCCCUAAGGGGAUGGCAUUUCAUCAUGAGAAGUGACUACAAUAUCAACUCUACUACUACACAUGCAGGUUAUCCUAAUCAUAAAGAGAGCAAUGGAAAAACCUUUCAUUUCCAUAUAUUUGUAUAACAUCAUCCUGAUAUCUAUCAACCUGUUUGCUCUGUCACAGAUUAACUAUACUGCCAGUUCAGUCAAUAGAGUUCUUGAAUGCCCAGAAAGUUCAGAUGCAGGUACGUACCACAUACUUUUGGCUUAGCACACCAUCACUUUGGCUUGUGGUGUAGAGAUCGAAAUUUUAACACUUAGUCUUGUCAAGCAUUUACAGUCUUGUUGUAAACUACACACUUCUCUUGUGUACCGAACAUACUAGAGAAUCUACUACUUUGUUGGCCCUGCAUAUUGACAAUAAAAAUAGAGGAAAUUGGCAUAAAUUUUCUGCAUAUUUCAGCAUCAGUGAAAUAUAUUUAGGUGAAGAAAUGGGGUCUGUUCAGAAGUGCAAGAUUUAUUUGGUCAAGAAAUCAACUUUAAUUCAUUUAGAGUUACUGCCUCCUCUAUGUUUGAGAGAAACAGGGUCUGUGCCAAAUGGGGUCUUUAUCUUUGAGAGAUGACUGAGCGACUAGUGUGAUUGAUCUACACUGUAAACACAUAGAAUAAUUAAUAUAUUUUUAAAAGAAAAGAUAAGGAUAGUAAUUAUUAACAUUGGUUGUGUCGACUGAUAGUCUUUCUAGAAAGAAAUGUACGGAUAAUUUGAGGAUAGAAAUUCAUGCAUCGAUCUGACUUAAGCUCCAGUUUUUGUCGUGUAAACUUUGUCCAUUCAGUCAUCUCAAUCAUGAUGAGUACACCACUUUUUCAGAGGAUAAUUCAAAGGAAAUGCUCAUCUUCAAUUCUUCAUCUGCUACCUGCCUUCGAAUAAUUUCAAUAGUACAUCAUCUGUAUUGAAAUUUGACUCACUUUGAGUGAGUUCCUGCAAAUAUUUGUCAACAACAGUCGACAAUGUUAGACCCUGUCUGUGUGAGCUUUAGAUCCCUCACAGGGAACUUAUCUUCAGUUUGCAAUCUGAACUCCAGAUUGCAUUCUUCAUUCUGAACCUUCUGUUCAGCAGUGCAAGAUUUAUUUGGUGUAGAAAUCAACUUUAUUUCAUUCAGAGUUCAAUUUACUGCCUCGUCUAUUUUAUUUUUAAUUUGUCUUGAGCAAACCGACAGUGCUCAUUUUAGUGCUGUAGGGAUAUAAUAAACACAAUAUUGUACUGUUAUAUUAUGCAAAUGAUGAAACCAAUAAAUAAUAAUCCUAAGUAGACAACGUUAAAGCUUUGUUCUGUGUAGCAGAAGUUUCUAAUAUCGCUAAGCCUCCUAAGACGUCCGCUUAUAGGUCAUUCUUUGAUCCGUUAAGAGUUCAGUUUACUGCCUCCUAUAUGUUCUUUUCAAUAGUUGUCUUCGAACCUAUUUAGUGCCACAAAAUCCUCAAAUUAUUUGUGAGAACCUGCAGUAAUCGGCCUUAUUUUCCAUGUUUCUAUUAGUAUUUUUACACUGCUUCUGUUCACAUUGAUAGGAAGCCAUUUAAUCCCUGCUUGGUGAAACCCUGAUAGACAUGGCAACAAUAGUGCUCUGAUAAACUGUAAAUUAGCCCUUCAAAUAAAAAGUAAGACGCUGCUCUGAGGUUGUUAAACAAUGGAACUCAGCCAAGGUCAAUGAGAUUUUUAGGGAUGAAAUUGAUAAAUGUCACAGCUAUGAUGUCUCCGCAGAUAGCAACCUUACAGUUUUCACAGUGAAGCACACUAAUGCUGAAUAUAUUCAGCGUUACAAAAGGCCUGAGUUCGAAGUAAAGAGGAUAAACAAUGGCGAGAAAUAUACAUGUGGAGCUACAAAAGGCCUGAGUACGACCAAGAAAGGCUCCGCACAUGGUGGAGCUACGAAAAUAACUCCUCAUUGCUCAAAGUGUAGAUCUGCUGGCCAUGACAAGAGGAAAUGUCCAUUUGAAGGAAACACAAAAGAUAGAAGCAGCGGCACUAUUGGGAAAGGAAAGAAAAAGCAGGUAAUUAUAUGUUGUAACCUGUGUGCUCUUACUGGACACAAUGAUGGAGAAUGCAUGGCAAGUUGCAGUCAGUGUGGUCUGAUGGGCCAUAACGAGGACGAAUGCUUAGUAUGACCAUGAGACCUAUCUCAACUAAUGCAUGACAUAUCAAGUAUCAAUGUUUAUUUUCAUUUGGAUGCAGAUAUAUGUCAAUUUUAUUUUGGUGUAGAGGUUACAUUCAUGUAAUGCUGCUCUACAUGAACUUCUAAUUUUGGCAUGAUGACAUGCUUAGUGUACUUCGAAUAUUGAAAUGACGCAGAUGAACCAAACAAUUAUUGAGACUACUAAUGCAGUAUGAUCUAUGUAUGAAAAAACUCUUUAUGUA